rnacentral:rRNA from 2 species
GGUGAAAACUAAACGGCCGCAGAAUUUUAACUGUGCUAAGGUAGCAUAAUCAUUUGUUUUUUAAUUGAAAACUAGUAUGAACGGUUUAACGAAAUAAAGCUGUCUUUUUUAUUAUAAUUAUAAAUUAUUUUUAGAGUAAAAAUUCUCUAAUAAAAUAAAAAGACAAAAAGACCCUAUAGAGUUUAACUUUAAAAUAUUUAUUAUAUUAUUAAGUUUAGUUGGGGCAACUAAAUGAAAAAAAAUUUCAUUAAAUUUUUAUAUAAAAAUAUUAUCAUUAUUUUAAUAAAUUAAAAUAAAUUACCUUAGGGGUAACAGCGUAAGUAUCUUAAAGAGUUCAAAUCGAAAAGAUAAAUUAC